rnacentral:misc_RNA from 1 species
GUUUUACAAAUGGAUUAAAAUUGCUACCAAUAUUAAUAAUUUAAUUAAAUUAAUAUUGGUAAAAUUAAAAGAAAAUAAAAAAUUUUAAUUAAUCAAUUUGGUAACCCAGAAUAUAUUUAACUAGAUGCUAGCCCAUAUAAUGUGCAGAUUAAUCUUAUUUUUUUUUAUAUGAUAUCAUUAAUUGAAAAUAUAUUUAGUUGUGUAUUUUUUUAAUUCACCUAGCUAAUUAAAAAUUAAGUGUUUAUUUUUAUAUGUUCUUUUGAUACAUCUAUUCUCUAAUAUUCUUCCUUUCUAAGUACGUAUGAUAUUAUAUUUUACAUUAAUAAUGAAACUUUUAAACAAUAAGUUUAUACAUAAAAUUCAAUAAUAAAAAAAACUAUAAUGUGAUCAUAAAAUUAUAUAAUUUUUAGUAUUAUCUUUUAAUUUUAAAAAGGAUAAGAUAAUAACAGA